rnacentral:rRNA from 1 species
UGGGGAAUAUUGGACAAUGGGCGAAAGCCUGAUCCAGCCAUGCCGCGUGUGUGAAGAAGGUCUUCGGAUUGUAAAGCACUCUAAGUUGGGAGGAAGGGCAGUAAGCGAAUACCUUGCUGUUUUGACGUUACCGACAGAAUAAGCACCGGCUAACUCUGUGCCAGCAGCCGCGGUAAUACAGAGGGUGCAAGCGUUAAUCGGAAUUACUGGGCGUAAAGCGAGCGUAGGUGGUUCGUUAAGUUGAAUGUGAAAGCCCCGGGCUCAACCUGGGAACUGCAUCCUAAACUGGCGAGCUAGAGUAGGACAGAGGGUGGUGGAAUUUCCUGUGUAGCGGUGAAAUGCGUAGAUAUAGGAAGGAACACCAGUGGCGAAGGCGGCCACCUGGGCUCAUACUGACUCUGAGGUGCGAAAGAGUGGGGGGCAAACAGG